rnacentral:rRNA from 1 species
GACGAACGCUGGCGGCGUGCUUAACACAUGCAAGUCGAACGGACAGACGCUGCUUUUGUUGCUUUGUCGAUUGGCGCAGGGGUGAGUGUAACAUGAGUAACCUGCCCUUAUCUGUCGGAUAACUUCUCGAGACUCGGGCUCAUACCGCGUAGAAGCUCCUGCUGCAUGGUGGUGGAUGGAAAGAUUCGGCCGUUGUGGAUGUACUGGCGGCUUAUCAGCUUCUUUGUGGGGUAGUGGCUUACCAAGGCUUUGACGGGUAGCCGGCCUGAGAGGUUGACCGGGCACAAGGGGCCUGAGGUAGGGCCCAGACGGCUACGGGCGGCAGUAGUGGGGAACCUUGCAGAAUGGGGGGAAGCCUGAUGAAGAAGCGCUGGGUGCGGGAUGAUGGCUUUCGGGGGGAAAACCGCUUUCGCCUGUGAUGAAGCGUGAGUGACGGUACCGGGUAAAGAAGCACCGGCUAACUACGUG